UGCAUAUCAAAAAGCGGAGGAAAAGAAACCAACAGGGAUUGCCUCAGUAACGGCGAGUGAAGCGGCAAAAGCUCAAAUUUGAAAUCCCCCCGGGGAGUUGUAAUUUGAAGAUUGCGUCUUGGAGGCGACCGUGUCUAUGUUCCUUGGAACAGGACGUCACAGAGGGUGAGAAUCCCGUGCGGCACGGCCCCCGGCUCCUUAUAAGGCGCUCUCGACGAGUCGAGUUGUUUGGGAAUGCAGCUCAAAGUGGGUGGUAAAUUCCAUCUAAAGCUAAAUACAGGCGAGAGACCGAUAGCGAACAAGUACAGUGAUGGAAAGAUGAAAAGCACUUUGAAAAGAGAGUGAAACAGCACGUGAAAUUGUUGAAAGGGAAGGGCAUGCCGUCAGAUUGUCAGUGUGGGUAAGAAGCGGGGUACAAAGACUGUGGAACGUGGCCCUCGGGUGUUAUAGCCGCAGUUCAUGCCCCGUCUC
rnacentral:rRNA from 1 species